CUUAAGUGGGGAAUAACGCAUCGAAAGAUGUGCUAAUACCGCAUAUUCUCUGAGGAGAAAAGCAGGGGAUCGUAAGACCUUGUGCUUUUGGAGCGGCCGAUGCCUGAUUAGCUAGUUGGUGGGGUAAUAGCCUACCAAGGCGACGAUCAGUAGUUGGUCUGAGAGGACGACCAGCCACACUGGGACUGAGACACGGCCCAGACUCCUACGGGAGGCAGCAGUGGGGAAUUUUGGACAAUGGGCGAAAGCCUGAUCCAGCAAUGCCGCGUGAGUGAAGAAGGCCUUCGGGUUGUAAAGCUCUUUCAGUCGAGAAGAAAAGGUUGUGACUAAUAAUCACAACUCAUGACGGUACCGACAGAAGAAGCACCGGCUAACUACGUGCCAGCAGCCGCGGUAAUACGUAGGGUGCAAGCGUUAAUCGGAAUUACUGGGCGUAAAGGGUGCGCAGGCGGCUUUGUAAGUCAGAUGUGAAAUCCCCGGGCUUAACCUGGGAAUUGCGUU
rnacentral:rRNA from 1 species